rnacentral:rRNA from 1 species
GGGUUGUGAGGUUAAGCGACUAAGCGUACACGGUGGAUGCCCUGGCAGUCAGAGGCGAUGAAGGACGUGCUAAUCUGCGAUAAGCGUCGGUAAGGUGAUAUGAACCGUUAUAACCGGCGAUUUCCGAAUGGGGAAACCCAGUGUGAUUCGUCACACUAUCAUUAACUGAAUCCAUAGGUUAAUGAGGCGAACCGGGGGAACUGAAACAUCUAAGUACCCCGAGGAAAAGAAAUCAACCGAGAUUCCCCCAGUAGCGGCGAGCGAACGGGGAGCAGCCCAGAGCCUGAAUCAGUGUGUGUGUUAGUGGAAGCGUCUGGAAAGGCGCGCGAUACAGGGUGACAGCCCCGUACACAAAAAUGCACAUGCUGUGAGCUCGAUGAGUAGGGCGGGACACGUGGUAUCCUGUCUGAAUAUGGGGGGACCAUCCUCCAAGGCUAAAUACUCCUGACUGACCGAUAGUGAACCAGUACCGUGAGGGAAAGGCGAAAAGAACCCCGGCGAGGGGAGUGAAAAAGAACCUGAAACCGUGUACGUACAAGCAGUGGGAGCACGCUUAGGCGUGUGACUGCGUACCUUUUGUAUAAUGGGUCAGCGACUUAUAUUCUGUAGCAAGGUUAACCGAAUAGGGGAGCCGAAGGGAAACCGAGUCUUAACUGGGCGUUAAGUUGCAGGGUAUAGACCCGAAACCCGGUGAUCUAGCCAUGGGCAGGUUGAAGGUUGGGUAACACUAACUGGAGGACCGAACCGACUAAUGUUGAAAAAUUAGCGGAUGACUUGUGGCUGGGGGUGAAAGGCCAAUCAAACCGGGAGAUAGCUGGUUCUCCCCGAAAGCUAUUUAGGUAGCGCCUCGUGAAUUCAUCUCCGGGGGUAGAGCACUGUUUCGGCAAGGGGGUCAUCCCGACUUACCAACCCGAUGCAAACUGCGAAUACCGGAGAAUGUUAUCACGGGAGACACACGGCGGGUGCUAACGUCCGUCGUGAAGAGGGAAACAACCCAGACCGCCAGCUAAGGUCCCAAAGUCAUGGUUAAGUGGGAAACGAUGUGGGAAGGCCCAGACAGCCAGGAUGUUGGCUUAGAAGCAGCCAUCAUUUAAAGAAAGCGUAAUAGCUCACUGGUCGAGUCGGCCUGCGCGGAAGAUGUAACGGGGCUAAACCAUGCACCGAAGCUGCGGCAGCGACGCUGAUGCGUUGUUGGGUAGGGGAGCGUUCUGUAAGCCUGCGAAGGUGUGCUGUGAGGCAUGCUGGAGGUAUCAGAAGUGCGAAUGCUGACAUAAGUAACGAUAAAGCGGGUGAAAAGCCCGCUCGCCGGAAGACCAAGGGUUCCUGUCCAACGUUAAUCGGGGCAGGGUGAGUCGACCCCUAAGGCGAGGCCGAAAGGCGUAGUCGAUGGGAAACAGGUUAAUAUUCCUGUACUUGGUGUUACUGCGAAGGGGGGACGGAGAAGGCUAUGUUGGCCGGGCGACGGUUGUCCCGGUUUAAGCGUGUAGGCUGGUUUUCCAGGCAAAUCCGGAAAACUAAGGCUGAGGCGUGAUGACGAGGCACUACGGUGCUGAAGCAACAAAUGCCCUGCUUCCAGGAAAAGCCUCUAAGCAUCAGGUAACAUCAAAUCGUACCCCAAACCGACACAGGUGGUCAGGUAGAGAAUACCAAGGCGCUUGAGAGAACUCGGGUGAAGGAACUAGGCAAAAUGGUGCCGUAACUUCGGGAGAAGGCACGCUGAUAUGUAGGUGAAGUCCCUCGCGGAUGGAGCUGAAAUCAGUCGAAGAUACCAGCUGGCUGCAACUGUUUAUUAAAAACACAGCACUGUGCAAACACGAAAGUGGACGUAUACGGUGUGACGCCUGCCCGGUGCCGGAAGGUUAAUUGAUGGGGUUAGCGCAAGCGAAGCUCUUGAUCGAAGCCCCGGUAAACGGCGGCCGUAACUAUAACGGUCCUAAGGUAGCGAAAUUCCUUGUCGGGUAAGUUCCGACCUGCACGAAUGGCGUAAUGAUGGCCAGGCUGUCUCCACCCGAGACUCAGUGAAAUUGAACUCGCUGUGAAGAUGCAGUGUACCCGCGGCAAGACGGAAAGACCCCGUGAACCUUUACUAUAGCUUGACACUGAACAUUGAGCCUUGAUGUGUAGGAUAGGUGGGAGGCUUUGAAGUGUGGACGCCAGUCUGCAUGGAGCCGACCUUGAAAUACCACCCUUUAAUGUUUGAUGUUCUAACGUUGACCCGUAAUCCGGGUUGCGGACAGUGUCUGGUGGGUAGUUUGACUGGGGCGGUCUCCUCCUAAAGAGUAACGGAGGAGCACGAAGGUUGGCUAAUCCUGGUCGGACAUCAGGAGGUUAGUGCAAUGGCAUAAGCCAGCUUGACUGCGAGCGUGACGGCGCGAGCAGGUGCGAAAGCAGGUCAUAGUGAUCCGGUGGUUCUGAAUGGAAGGGCCAUCGCUCAACGGAUAAAAGGUACUCCGGGGAUAACAGGCUGAUACCGCCCAAGAGUUCAUAUCGACGGCGGUGUUUGGCACCUCGAUGUCGGCUCAUCACAUCCUGGGGCUGAAGUAGGUCCCAAGGGUAUGGCUGUUCGCCAUUUAAAGUGGUACGCGAGCUGGGUUUAGAACGUCGUGAGACAGUUCGGUCCCUAUCUGCCGUGGGCGCUGGAGAACUGAGGGGGGCUGCUCCUAGUACGAGAGGACCGGAGUGGACGCAUCACUGGUGUUCGGGUUGUCAUGCCAAUGGCACUGCCCGGUAGCUAAAUGCGGAAGAGAUAAGUGCUGAAAGCAUCUAAGCACGAAACUUGCCCCGAGAUGAGUUCUCCCUGACUCCUUGAGAGUCCUGAAGGAACGUUGAAGACGACGACGUUGAUAGGCCGGGUGUGUAAGCGCAGCGAUGCGUUGAGCUAACCGGUACUAAUGAACCGUGAGGCUUAACCUUACAACGCCGAAGCUGUU